rnacentral:rRNA from 1 species
GAAUCUUUGAACGCACCUUGCGCCCUUUGGCUUUUCCGAAGGGCAUGCCUGUUUGAGUAUCGUGAACACCUCAACUCUCACGGUUUUCUGUGAUGAGCUUGGAAUUUGGGGGUUUUGUCGGCCGUGCGGUCGGCUCCCCUUAAACGAAUCAGCUUUCCAGUGUUUGGUGGCGUCACGGGUGUGAUAACUAUCUACGCUUGUGGUUGUCUGCCAGUAACCUUUGGAGACAAAGGUUCGCUGGGGCUUAUAAACGUCUCUCCUCAGCGGAGACAGCUCUUUGAACGUUCGAUCUCAAAUCAGGUAGGAUUACCCGCUGAACUUAAGCAUAA